UACGUAGGGUCCGAGCGUUGUCCGGAAUUAUUGGGCGUAAAGGGUGCGUAGGCGGCUGUGCAAGUCUGGCGUGAAAGCCCCGGGCUCAGCCCGGGAAGUGCGCUCGAAACUGCGCGGCUCGAGUGCCGGAGGGGAGAGUGGAAUUCCUGGUGUAGCGGUGAAAUGCGUAGAUAUCGUGAGGAACACCAGAGGCGAAGGCGGUUACCUGGACAGUUACUGACGCUCAGGCACGAAAGCAUGGGGAGCAAAAGGG
rnacentral:rRNA from 1 species